GACGAACGCUGGCGGCGUGCUUAACACAUGCAAGUCGAACGAGUGGCGAACGGGUGAGUAACACGUGGGGACCUGCCCGAUAGAGGGGGAGAACUACUGGAAACGGUGGCUAAUACUGCAUACUAUCGUAUGAACCCACAUGGGAGUAGCUAGUAGGUGGGGGAGAGGCUCACCUAGGCGACGAUCCCUAGCUGGUCUGAGAGGAUGACCAGCCACACUGGAACUGAGACACGGCCCAGACUCCUACGGGAGGCAGCAGUGGGGAAUAUUGCACAAUGGGCGCAAGCCUGAUGCAGCCAUGCCGCGUGUAUGAAGAAGGCCUUAGGGUUGUAAAGUACUUUCAGCGGGGAGGCGUUACCCGCAGAAGAAGCACCGGCUAACUCCGUGCCAGCAGCCGCGGUAAUUC
rnacentral:rRNA from 1 species